AUUAAACUGAUCCUAGAACAGCACAACAGUAAGGUACAGGGUUACACACUUAUCAGGCCCAAACAUGAUGCUGUAGGAGGUACGGUCAUUAAACUGAUCCUAGAACAGCACAACAGUAAGGUACAGGGUUACACACUUAUCAGGCCCAAACAUGAUGCUGUAGGAGGUACGGUCAUUAAACUGAUCCUAGAACAGCACAACAGUAAGGUACAGGGUUACACACUUAUCAGGCCCAAACAUGAUGCUGUAGGAGGUACGGUCAUUAAACUGAUCCUAGAACAGCACAACAGUAAGGUACAGGGUUACACACUUAUCAGGCCCAAACAUGAUGCUGUAGGAGGUACGGUCAUUAAACUGAUCCUAGAACAGCACAACAGUAAGGUACAGGGUUACACACUUAUCAGGCCCAAACAUGAUGCUGUAGGAGGUACGGUCAUUAAACUGAUCCUAGAACAGCACAACAGUAAGGUACAGGGUUACACACUUAUCAGGCCCAAACAUGAUGCUGUAGGAGGUACGGUCAUUAAACUGAUCCUAGAACAGCACAACAGUAAGGUACAGGGUUACACACUUAUCAGGCCCAAACAUGAUGCUGUAGGAGGUACGGUCAUUAAACUGAUCCUAGAACAGCACAACAGUAAGGUACAGGGUUACACACUUAUCAGGCCCAAACAUGAUGCUGUAGGAGGUACGGUCAUUAAACUGAUCCUAGAACAGCACAACAGUAAGGUACAGGGUUACACACUUAUCAGGCCCAAACAUGAUGCUGUAGGAGGUACGGUCAUUAAACUGAUCCUAGAACAGCACCACAG